rnacentral:rRNA from 1 species
UGCCUAAUACAUGCAAGUAGAACGCUGAAGAGAGGAGCUUGCUCUUCUUGGAUGAGUUGCGAACGGGUGAGUAACGCGUAGGUAACCUGCCUUGUAGCGGGGGAUAACUAUUGGAAACGAUAGCUAAUACCGCAUAACAAUGGAUGACACAUGUCAUUUAUUUGAAAGGGGCAAUUGCUCCACUACAAGAUGGACCUGCGUUGUAUUAGCUAGUAGGUGAGGUAAUGGCUCACCUAGGCGACGAUACAUAGCCGACCUGAGAGGGUGAUCGGCCACACUGGGACUGAGACACGGCCCAGACUCCUACGGGAGGCAGCAGUAGGGAAUCUUCGGCAAUGGGGGCAACCCUGACCGAGCAACGCCGCGUGAGUGAAGAAGGUUUUCGGAUCGUAAAGCUCUGUUGUAAGUCAAGAACGGGUGUGAGAGUGGAAAGUUCACACUGUGACGGUAGCUUACCAGAAAGGGACGGCUAACUACGUGCCAGCAGCCGCGGUAAUACGUAGGUCCCGAGCGUUGUCCGGAUUUAUUGGGCGUAAAGCGAGCGCAGGCGGUUUGAUAAGUCUGAAGUUAAAGGCUGUGGCUCAACCAUAGUUCGCUUUGGAAACUGUCAAACUUGAGUGCAGAAGGGGAGAGUGGAAUUUCAUGUGUAGCGGUGAAAUGCGUAGAUAUAUGGAGGAACACCGGUGGCGAAAGCGGCUCUCUGGUCUGUAACUGACGCUGAGGCUCGAAAGCGUGGGGAGCGAACAGGAUUAGAUACCCUGGUAGUCCACGCCGUAAACGAUGAGUGCUAGGUGUUGGAUCCUUUCCGGGAUUCAGUGCCGCAGCUAACGCAUUAAGCACUCCGCCUGGGGAGUACGACCGCAAGGUUGAAACUCAAAGGAAUUGACGGGGGCCCGCACAAGCGGUGGAGCAUGUGGUUUAAUUCGAAGCAACGCGAAGAACCUUACCAGGUCUUGACAUCCCGAUGCUAUUUCUAGAGAUAGAAAGUUACUUCGGUACAUCGGUGACAGGUGGUGCAUGGUUGUCGUCAGCUCGUGUCGUGAGAUGUUGGGUUAAGUCCCGCAACGAGCGCAACCCCUAUUGUUAGUUGCCAUCAUUCAGUUGGGCACUCUAGCGAGACUGCCGGUAAUAAACCGGAGGAAGGUGGGGAUGACGUCAAAUCAUCAUGCCCCUUAUGACCUGGGCUACACACGUGCUACAAUGGUUGGUACAACGAGUUGCGAGUCGGUGACGGCGAGCUAAUCUCUUAAAGCCAAUCUCAGUUCGGAUUGUAGGCUGCAACUCGCCUACAUGAAGUCGGAAUCGCUAGUAAUCGCGGAUCAGCACGCCGCGGUGAAUACGUUCCCGGGCCUUGUACACACCGCCCGUCACACCACGAGAGUUUGUAACACCCGAAGUCGGUGAGGUAACCUUUUGGAGCCAGCCGCCUAAGGUGGGACAGAUGAUGGGGG